GGUAGAACAGAGAGUCAUUUGAUUUACAAACAAUCAAGCAAAAGAGAUGAUAACCUCUGAACACACCCGUAGAUUUGUUUGGACAUAUAAAAAGAGAUCAUUCAGUUGAGUCGCACCUGUACGAAAUCAAUGAAUCACCAUGCACCGGAAGACAUAAUUAUUGAAGAGGAUCAAAAGAAAAGGUAGUUAUCAGCCUAUCGAUUCCAAUUCUCUUCCCUGAAUUCACUCUGGCUUCCUUUUUUGCCUCUUUUUUGUCAUCUGAUCUGGAAAGAAGGGAGGGAGUUCCUAUUAUUGUAUAAAGAGAUUCGACUCUUCCUCAGAUGGGGUCACGGACAGCUGAGCUAAGGUGCUCGGUUCGGUUUCCAGAUAUUUCUUCGCUGAAUGGGAAUCCGAAUUUUGCUUCCCUUUUGCCUGUUUUUGUAUAUAUUAUUUAUAUUUGGCGUAACAAGUUGAGCUGUGGACAGGGGCCAGUGAAGGUUUUUGGGCUGGAACUCUCUCUCUCUCUCUCUCUCUCUCUCUCUCUCUCUCUCUCUCUCUCUCUCUCUCUCUCUCAUUCAUUUAUUUUGUUUGUUUCCUUGAAUUUGUUAUGGUUUUUGGUUAGGCUGUAAAGCGGAAGGAGAUUGGUGGGAGUGAGAUUGUCAUUUUAUGCAGGUCUGUAAGCUGGGUACAAGCGGCCAGUGUCAGAGCUGAGAGAGAGAGAGAGAGAGAGAGAGGGAGAGGUUCUGUUGGGAGAGAGUUAGAUUUUUCCACAGUAUAAUGUUUGGAUCUGUUGUCUCGGAGUGUGGCAGCAAAAACGGGGAUGUUUGUGCAUGGCCAGACUACAAAAAGACUAGUUCCGCCUGAUCAACUCCAUGUUCUCUUCCAGGGUGGGAAGCAAUAAUGAAGAUAGAUCGGUAUGGGGCUCACUUAAGAAAGGAGUAUAUAUUGUGAAGUGUUCUACAAGGUCAUAUCAUGCUUAGGAAUAACGUGAAAACAAUGGAUCACCACCUUCUGAUCCAAUAUUGCAAGGUUGCUAUUGCUUUAUGGAGCAUGAUAACGAGCUAGGGCUACCAUUGUGUGCCCGGGUUCGGCCACCAAUAGGCCGGCCAAAUCCGACCAUCCCAGCGGCGCCCAAAGCAAGGGCCAUAGGUAAGGUGAUAGCCAAGUCAAGUCUUGUGUUAGGCAGGAAGGUGAAUAUUUUGUCCCUUUUUUUUGUUUUAUUUUUUUUCCAAACGGCAAUUUUAUAUAUUGUAUAUGUUUUCUACUA